UAACCUGCUAAAUAGCCCGGCCGUCUUUGGAUGGUCGCUGGCUUCUUAGAGGGACUAUCGGCGUUUAGCCGAUGGAAGUUUGAGGCAAUAACAGGUCUGUGAUGCCCUUAGAUGUUCUGGGCCGCACGCGCGCUACACUGACCGAACCAGCGAGUUUAUCACCUUGGCCGGAAGGCCUGGGUAAUCUUGUGAAACUCGGUCGUGAUGGGGAUAGAGCAUUGCAAUUAUUGCUCUUCAACGAGGAAUACCUAGUAAGCGUGAGUCAUCAGCUCGCGUUGAAUUCGUCCCUGCCCUUUGUACACACCGCCCGUCGCU
rnacentral:rRNA from 1 species